rnacentral:rRNA from 1 species
UACGGGGGGAGCAAGCGUUGUUCGGAUUUACUGGGCGUAAAGGGCGCGUAGGCGGCCACCGCAAGUCGGUUGUGAAAUCUCUGGGCUUAACCCAGAAAGGUCAACCGAUACUGCGGGGCUAGAGUGCAGAAGGGGCAACUGGAAUUCUCGGUGUAGCGGUGAAAUGCGUAGAUAUCGAGAGGAACACCUGCGGCGAAGGCGGCGCUCUGGGCCGGUACUGACACUGAGGAGCGAAAGCGUGGGUAGCAAACAGG